GUCUAUGGCUAUACCACCCUGAACACGCCCAAUCUCGUCUGAUCUCAGAAGCUAAGCAGGGUUGGGCCUGGUUAGUACUUGGAUGGGAAAAAAGCUACCAUGACA
rnacentral:rRNA from 1 species